GCCAAGGCCUUUCAAAGGCUUGGCCAUACGGGCGCCGGCGGGUGUCCGGCGCUCUCGGAUCCAUGUUGCUCAUUGGAGGAUGUGGUUAUGAGAA
rnacentral:sRNA from 1 species